GGUCAGAUGGCCGAGCUGGUCUAAGGCGUUCGACUCAAGUUGCUUAUGUAAGCGAUUAGAAUUCGAAUCUCGUAAGAGGCGUGGGUUCGAAUCCCACUCUGACCA